rnacentral:lncRNA from 1 species
AAAGGCAGUCUUAUUUUAAAGUGGUACCCUUUAGUCUUUAAUCUACAAUGCAGUGUUGUGUCUGCCUUUGCAGGAUGUGGAGGCUAACACGGUGCGUUUGGAGGAGCAUGGGAAGGUGGUGCUGGUACUGGAGAAAAGCUCAGGGCAGGAGUCGCCCCAUCAGGGCGGAUCAGGAAGCGGCAGCAAGUAAACAAACCACAUCUCUGCACUCAGUCAUAUUGUUCAGCACAUCCGAGCACGUUGCGCUCACAUUAAACCAGAACCAAAGCUCAAUCAGAAGCCUGAAAACCACAUGUUCCACAAGCUAAUUCACUGAUCAGAGGAGGAGAUGAUUAAAAUAAUGGUUCUAUUGUGUGAAAUGACUGCUAAUAAAAGCUUUUUAUAAACAUCUCCAGAGCUCUUCUUCACUUGUUCAGCUGUAAAAGGCUGGAAAAGCAGUGGAUUAGUCAGACAGCCUCAGUUAUCUACAGUCAACCAAACCUAAUUCAUUCUAAAUGGAAAUCACUGAUGAAGUGGGCCCUCAUCAGUGCUGCCGUGUUACUGCCGAUUGUGAAUCGCUCACACUUUUCUAUUUGUCACUCAGAUACACAGUGAUGUCAGGAACACCAGAGAAAAUUCUGGAACAUCUCCUGGAGACCAUCAAGCUGGAUACUAAUGGCAGUGAGCCAAUAGAUCCCUGUGUUAGUGACUUCCUUCUCACACAGCAAGUCUUCAUGCCGUCUGCGCAGCUCUGCCCUGCACUGCAGCACCAAUAUCCAAUCAAUAAUCUAUAACAAUUCAAUGCUACUGAUUGGUAUUACUCUUAUUCACACCUCUCCUUCUUUGUGACUGAUAUAGAUCAAUAUUUACAGAUUAGGGGCACUACUGAGUAAGCUGGAGUCACGUUAACCUCAGAGUUUCCAUUCCUUUUGCUUUUUUCCCGUCAAAUUGGGCUUCUUUGAAAAAAUACAGUACAGGUCAAAAGUGUCUCAUUCAGUGUUUUUGUCUUUAUUUAAUUUUUUUUUUGUGUUCAUGCCAGCAGCUCAUUCUUGUUUCUCUGGUACGAAACGAUGCCUGAUCAGAAGCCCAUAACCUAUAGCUAUAACCCACAGCAGCUCAGCCCACCUGGCUCUCCCUCCUGCCCUGCCCCUAAACCCAUACAUCACUGCAGUGCUUCUCCCAAACUACCCCAACCAUUUUUUUAGCAUUUUUCAAAUUUGAGCUGAGGGUUAAGUUAGCUGCAAUCAUAGGUUUUAGUUACCCUUUAAGAAGUAAUAAUAUCUUCGAUAGGCAUAUUGUCGAUAUAGUAAGAAAAUGAUCAAGAUACGAUAAAAUAUCAAUAUAUCGACUAACUGUACAACACAGUGAAUUUUUAAUAAACACAGAAAAAAACUUUAUGAAGGAUUUUUA